AGAGUGUGGUUAUGAGGCUAUUGAAGUAAUUUUUGCAAAGGAAGGAGCCAGGCUGUAUGAGCGCAGCAUAAACUUAUAUUGGAGAAAGUCAGCCGCACAGUGAGACUUUCUCCAACAGCGUUCAGCAGUUAUGGAGCAUUUUUGGAGAUACUGAGUCAGCUUGGUGUGCCAAGGUUGUUGUUGGGGGUGCUUGCUGCGUUUAAAUGUAGGAGGUGCCAUGAAG